AGAUUAAGUUAUUAAGGGCGCACGGUGGAUGCCUUGGCACUAGAAGCCGAUGAAGGACGUUACUAACGACGAUAUGCUUUGGGGAGCUGUAAGUAAGCUUUGAUCCAGAGAUUUCCGAAUGGGGAAACCCAGCAUGAGUUAUGUCAUGUUAUCGAUAUGUGAAUACAUAGCAUAUCAGAAGGCACACCCGGAGAACUGAAACAUCUUAGUACCCGGAGGAAGAAAAAGAAAAUUCGAUUCCCUUAGUAGCGGCGAGCGAAACGGGAAGAGCCCAAACCAACAAGCUUGCUUGUUGGGGUUGUAGGACACUCUAUACGGAGUUACAAAGGACGACAUUAGACGAAUCAUCUGGAAAGAUGAAUCAAAGAAGGUAAUAAUCCUGUAGUCGAAAAUGUUGUCUCUCUUGAGUGGAUCCUGAGUACGACGGAACACGUGAAAUUCCGUCGGAAUCUGGGAGGACCAUCUCCUAAGGCUAAAUACUCUCUAGUGACCGAUAGUGAACCAGUACCGUGAGGGAAAGGUGAAAAGCACCCCGGAAGGGGAGUGAAAUAGAACCUGAAACCGUGUGCUUACAAGUAGUCAGAGCCCGUUAAUGGGUGAUGGCGUGCCUUUUGUAGAAUGAACCGGCGAGUUACGAUUUGAUGCAAGGUUAAGCAGUAAAUGUGGAGCCGUAGCGAAAGCGAGUCUGAAUAGGGCGUUUAGUAUUUGGUCGUAGACCCGAAACCAGGUGAUCUACCCUUGGUCAGGUUGAAGUUCAGGUAACACUGAAUGGAGGACCGAACCGACUUACGUUGAAAAGUGAGCGGAUGAACUGAGGGUAGCGGAGAAAUUCCAAUCGAACCUGGA
rnacentral:rRNA from 1 species